AAAGGGCACGGCGGUGGCUACGUCACACGUGUGCGACAGCACCUGCUCCGGACGUCAGGCUCUCUAAGGACGACGUGGUUCUUCCUUGUGAGGUUGAGGCGCCCGAGAGGCGAUCAGAGCUCAGAGCCGAUUCAUUCCUGCUUGACUUUGGGUCGGUGCCUCGUGAGCGAGCUCAUUUCCCGGGGUUGCGGGUCCUUGCCUGGGGACACGCGAGUUGGAGAGCGCGUGCACCGGUCGUUCCCUUCCCGUGCUGCCCGCGUCCGGAUCGUCGGGACCCGGUUGUCUCUAGUAUGUGGAAAGGCUCGGGCUGGGAACUUCGAGGGAGGAGUUACCCCCUCGAGAUCCGGAGGACCAGAGCGGAGAGCAGGGCCACUGAGACCCUACAGGAUAUGACUCCGAGGAUCGCGUGCUGGACACGAGUGGCUACCGAGCCCGGAGAGCUUCGCGCUGCCUCCUCCUGGUCCCUUUCCAGAGGACUCUUUUCAGUCGGGGAUGCUUAUUAAAGCUCUGGCGGGAAAGAGAGAAUCACAAUUAAAGAAAUUAGUCCUACUCUGCAACGUCGGACACUUUAAUAGUAACUGGGGAGCGAUUGCGUUCAGGGAGAUCGAGGACAAGUAUCCUGGCCAGAUCCUGACAUGUUUUCCCGGUAAGAGUUCUCUGCGGAGGCCACCUUUGGAGGACUCUGUAUAUUGAUGGAAGAGGGAACGCCGGAACCUAUCCCAAAAGUAUUGUCAUGGGAAUUAGGUGUGUGUGGGUUCCAGGAAGGGCGAGGACGGACGGCGCACUACCACAGUCCGAUGAAUGUUCUCAUCACCGACCUUUGGAGUUUUUCAGCAUGUUGGAUUUUUAAACAUGUUCAGGUACUGAUAAUUUUAGAAGGAAACAGAAUUUACAUUUGAUAUUUGCCACUCCCUUAUCUAAAAUGAAGAUUAUGCCAGUUUACUAGCAGAAUGGUAUGGACUCGCUAAACAGAGACGUACCUGUUUGUUCCCCACAGCUCUGAAGCGUAUGGGUAUUGAUCUUAGGAUGUUGAACUGUUUGGGGGUACAUUUUGUAGUACCAUUGUAAUAAUACCAUAUUUUUUUGUUUUUAAUAUUUGGGGAGUGGGCCCUGAAUGAGAACUUGCAAACAGUGUGGAGGUCAGAGGGUAACUCUCCCAGAGUCUCUUCUGCCACCUGGGAUCCUGGAAUAAAUUCGGGUUACCAGGCUUGCCUUCGUGUCUACUGGCUGAGCCAUCUCGCAGGCCCUGUGGCAGUAUUUUAAUAAUGAUACUUAAUAAGGAAUGUUACUGGAAAUCCAUUAUCGCAUACAUAUUUGUAUUAGGGUUAGGGAUGUAACUUAGUAGUAGAAGGCUUGCCUAGACUGCACCAAAAGCCCUGCAUUCCUUUCCUCAGGGAGCGGCACAUAAAUGGCUAUUCACCUCAGUUAGGACACCAACAGACCAUUCCAUCCAAGUCCAGUUUGUUUGGUUAUUGGGGUUAAAGCCAGUGUGAUUAUUGAGUUCAGUACUGCUGUGUAGACAUGCCAAGGAGUCUGGAAAAGCCCCAUCCAACCAUGGAUGACUCCUUCCUAAAGUCACAGCCCUGGAGUCCCAAACCCAGUAAACCUACCUCUUGUAAGCUGUGCCACCCUAAGACCAUGUGAAACUGCCAUGGGGAGGCGGGGAAGUUGGCUGGUUUGGGUGGGUGAGCAGGAGUUGGUGGCUAAAACACACACCCCCUGCCCCACUUCAAGGAGGGAAGGUGAAUAGGCCAUCCAUGGGAUUUUUGGGGGUCUCAGUUGAAUAAUCACAGCUACUCUGAUUUCAAGAUUACAGAGGUCCUAUCUGCCUAAAGGAUGGAGUUCCAUUACACUCUACCCCAGCCCCACAAAAGGCAGCAAAGCCAUGCAGAUGUUUCACCACUAGUGAAACUAGUGUCUAGGCUCUUUAGCUUUUAGACAACUAGCAGGCUAUUGUGGUGAAUGCCUUAAGCACAUAGCAGGCAGAGGCGGGAAAUGCAUUGUGAUUUUGGGUUAGCCUAGUCUACAUAGCAAGGUUCUAAACUCCCUAAUAUUAUAGUUCUAAAUUAAAAGUUAAUAGUUUCCUUUCCUCCUCUCUUCCUCCUCCUCUUCCUCUUCUUCCUCCUUCCCCUCCUCUUCCUCCUCCUCCUCCUUCUUCUUUUUCUUCUUCUUCUUUUGGAUAGGGUUUCUCUGUGUAGACCUGGCUGUCCUGGAACUUGCUCUGUAGACCAGGCUGGCCUCGAAUUAUUAGAUCCAUCUGCCUCUGCCUCCUGGGAUUAAAGGCAUGUGACAUCACACUCUGGCAAAUAAAAGUUUGUUUCCUUAUAUAUUUUAUGUAUAAGUGCUUGUAUGUAUGUCUGCACAUCAGAAGAGGACAUCAAAUCCCAGUACAGAUGGUUGUAAGCCACAGUGUGGUUGUUGUGAAUCAAAUUCAGGGCCUCUGAAGAUCAGAGCAGCCAGUGCUCUUAAUCACUGACCAUAUCUCCAGCCCAUCUCUUCUCUCUUCUCCUCUUCUCUUCUCUUCUCUUCUCUUCUCUUCUCUUCUCUUCUCUUCUCUUCUCUUCUCUUCUCUUCUCUUUCCUCUCCUCCUCUCCUCUCCUCUCCUCUCCUCUCCUCUCCUCUCCUCUCCUCGUCUCCUCCCCUCCCCUCCCUUCCCCUCCCCUCCCCUCCUCUCCUCUCCUCCUCCCCUCCUCUCCUCUUCCUUCCUCUUCUUCUUCCUCCCCUCCUUUCUUCUUUUCCUUCCCUUCCCUUCCCUCCUUCCCUCCUUCUCUUCCCUUCUUCCCUUCCUUCCUUCCCUUCUUCCCUUCCCUUCUUUUCUCUUUCCCUCCCCUCCCCUCCCCUCUCCUUCCCUUCCUUCUUUCCAGUACACAGUUCUUACCCAAACAGAGUUUUCUUUGUUGGGUUGGUAUGCAGUGGUUCAUACUUGUAAUCCCAGCAUGUGGAAGUGGGGGCAGGAAGAUGAGUUCAGUUUCUUGGCUACAUAGUCAGUUUGAGACUAGCCUGGGGAACAUUGAGACCCCCAUCUCAACAAGGGAGGGACAGCCAAUUUCUUGGUCAAGUUCCUCUUCUGCUUACAUUGGAUUUUUUUCAUUAUUUCUAGCAAAGGGUGUCUAAUAACUUGAUAACUGAUUUUUAGUCUCUCAUCUAUUUCCUUGCCAUAUUAAUCUUCAUAAAAUACCCUUUCUGUAGCCUCAGGAAUGUGCCCUAACUGCUUACCAGGCCAAGUGCAAAUGCCUCAGGCUGGCUUUUAAGUCUGUCUCCCCUCCGAAGGGAGCAGUGCACAUCCUUCCUGUGCUGUGUUUAAAACCAUCCCUACUCUGAGAGUUUUCUUCAGUUCUCCUGAUAGUUCGAAGACACUAGCUGCUCUGCUGCCUCUGAGCCCUUAUGGCCCUCAUCUGUAAUUUCUCAUUGGUUCUGUAGUGCUGCUGGGUUUGCUAAUUGAUCUCUGAAUUUUCACUUUAUCAAGCAAAAUAUAAAUUCUUGGGCAGGGCCAGAAUCUAAUUCACUUUCCAUUCCUGUUUUUGACCCUCUGACAGUAGUGUAAGGCAAGAACGAGUGCUCAGCAUGUAUUUAUGAGUCAUCCACACUGUAUUUCCAUCAUAGGAUAUAAGUGAUACUAACGACAUCAACCAGGGGACACUGUUUUGGAAGCAGACUCAGGCUCUGGUAGAAUGAGCUAAUUUUUAUCCAAAGCAGUAAGAUUUGGAGUAAAGGACGACUUGGGGCAGGUGGGUCUCCAGAGAUCACUGGCCAGCCAGUCUAGCAGAAUCAGUGAACUCCAGGGUCAGUGAUGUGACCCUGUCUGGAAAAAUAGGGAAAGCAGGAGAGGAAGACAUCCAGUACCAACCCCUGACCUUCUCCCACACAUAUAUACUCUCCAUAAACAUAGACACCCAAGGAAGCCUCAACCUUAGCCAUAGAUGUAAAUGAAAAUUAUGCAAUGCUAGACCAGGUAUGGAAGCACAUACCUAUACUCUCAGCAUUGGAGAGUCAUGAGUUCUGGGUUAACCUGGGUUACUUAAUGAGUUCUCGAAUAGCCCGGGCUACACAAUAAGAAAAGAAAAGAACAAUGACAAACUUCACAUUUUAGAUUCACACAUAAAAUAUUAGAUAACUGUUGGGAUGGGAAUGGAGAAACAGGCACUCUAGUGUAAACUAUACAUAUUUUUUUUAAAUAUAAAACUUUACGUACCCUCUGAGCUUAAUUUGUAUCUGAUGGCCAUGACACAUUAGGCAAAAGAAUGUUCCCUGAAGUAUUUGUAUGAAGGUAAGACUAGAAACAGGUAAAUGUUUAUCAUUUACCUAAAUAAAUCAUGGAAUGCAGUAGUUGAAAAGAAUACAGUGUUUGCAUAUUGCUGAGAUGACAGCGUCAACGAGAAAAGUAAAAGAUGGUGUGAUUUAGUUGUACUGUGGAUUCAGGACACAGAGUUACUCGCAGAUUUGUAUAAAUAAAGCUGUCACAGGAAGGGCAAGGGCCAAAUACUAUGGCUGCCUCCAAAGAGGAAAAUUUGGGGUUAGGGGAUUGGGAAGAGAUUUUUGUAACCAUGGAUAUUUGACUUUUUUUCUGGGGACAUUUAAUACCUUUGCAAAAUAAAUUCUUGGCAGUUUGUAAACUAA
rnacentral:lncRNA from 1 species